rnacentral:rRNA from 1 species
GGGACACGUGGUAUCCUGUCUGAAUAUGGGGGGACCAUCCUCCAAGGCUAAAUACUCCUGACUGACCGAUAGUGAACCAGUACCGUGAGGGAAAGGCGAAAAGAACCCCGGCGAGGGGAGUGAAAAAGAACCUGAAACCGUGUACGUACAAGCAGUGGGAGCACCUUCGUGGUGUGACUGCGUACCUUUUGUAUAAUGGGUCAGCGACUUAUAUUCUGUAGCAAGGUUAACCGUAUAGGGGAGCCGAAGGGAAACCGAGUCUUAACUGGGCGUUAAGUUGCAGGGUAUAGACCCGAAACCCGGUGAUCUAGCCAUGGGCAGGUUGAAGGUUGGGUAACACUAACUGGAGGACCGAACCGACUAAUGUUGAAAAAUUAGCGGAUGACUUGUGGCUGGGGGUGAAAGGCCAAUCAAACCGGGAGAUAGCUGGUUCUCCCCGAAAGCUAUUUAGGUAGCGCCUCGUGAACUCAUCUUCGGGGGUAGAGCACUGUUUCGGCUAGGGGGCCAUCCCGGCUUACCAACCCGAUGCAAACUACGAAUACCGAAGAAUGUUAUCACGGGAGACACACGGCGGGUGCUAACGUCCGUCGUGAAGAGGGAAACAACCCAGACCGCCAGCUAAGGUCCCAAAGUCAUGGUUAAGUGGGAAACGAUGUGGGAAGGCACAGACAGCCAGGAUGUUGGCUUAGAAGCAGCCAUCAUUUAAAGAAAGCGUAAUAGCUCACUGGUCGAGUCGGCCUGCGCGGAAGAUGUAACGGGGCUAAACCAUGCACCGAAGCUGCGGCAGCGACACUAUGUGUUGUUGGGUAGGGGAGCGUUCUGUAAGCCGUUGAAG